UUUUUGUCUGAAGAUGCCCCAUGACUUGUAAUGUUUUAUGCUCCUGUUCGGUGUGGAUUUAUAUCCUAAAUACUCUUUGGGUAGAAUAAACUUAGAUUCAAAGACUUCCUCAGUAAACAUGGGUAGGAAGUAGGAAUGCACUUAUAUAAGCCAUAUAUGGCACCAAAUGGGUUAAACUUCCACAAAAAUAGUUGUUUUUUAAAUGGAGCUUACAGAAAACUUUUUUAAAAACCACACCCUUUUUGACUUUUGAAAUAAGUGCUUGGCCUAUAGUUAAAUAUGAUUUAAAGGGGCACUAUAGUGUCAGGAACACUAAUGUUUAUUUCUGACAGUAUAUAGUUCUAGGUGGUUAGCACCCCUUCCUCGGGUAAAAAAGGUGAUUUGCUCACCUUUUUCCAGCACCGCGCGGGGCUCCUCGAGUGGCCCCACCCCCUGAUCCGCCUCCUUUACUGACAUCAGAAUUGAUGAUCUCAGCCAAUCACAAUGCUUUCCCAUAGGAAAGCAUUGGAUUGGCUUACAUGGUCAACAAUUCUGAUGAUCUGUCAAUGAGAGGGUGUGGGGGCAGAGUCAAAUGCCGCUCUGGACAAUCAGCAUCUCCUAAUAGAGAUGCAUUAAAUCACUGUGCAGCACUGACCCAGGAAGCACCUCUAGUGGCCGUCUGACUGCCACUGGAGGUGUCCCUAGGGAGCCAUGUAAACACUGCCUUUUCUCUGAAAAGGCAGUGUUAACUUAUUAAAGGAAAAUAUGGGUGCUGUCGGUAAAGCGAAAUUAAGCGCAAAUAUUAUUCAGUCAGAGAACAAAAAUCAACACCAGACUGACUAACAGCGUUAUUUUGGGCUAAAAUUUUAAAUUUACUUUGAAUUCUCACUUUAGUCAAUAUCCCUGUAAGUGUUCAAUCUGCAGAAACAGUUUGAUUCCCUUAUGCACUCUUUGUAUAGUUACUAUGAGUGGCCUUUAAAACAUACUGACAUUAAGUGCUACAGGAAGUUCAAUGUUUACAGAUUGGACCGGCUGUUUAAAUAUGGGCAUUUCUUACAUUCCAAAAUUUUUCAACAAUACGUUAGCAGAACCACGCACAGACCUAGCAUGUUAUAUUAAGUUCUUUAAAUUUAUACAUAUUACGGACGCAACAUGAUCUACUGAUGAGCAUUGUCUGGUCAAAAAGCACUAUUACCGGUAAAUAUUUUAUUUAAAAAAGGCUAUACAGAUGUAAUCCUUGCUGCUUUAACCAAACUCAAUGUGCCUGUUUAGGUGGAGAUUACAGUUUUUAAGAUAUUUCUGUAUGAACUGCUAGUUUUUGUGUUUACAAAAAAGUGUUAAUGAGUUAUUUAAUAGAUUCUAUUAUCUAUUAUUAGCUAUAUAUUGAAGAAUGUGCUGUGGGACAUUUAAUCACAUAUCAGAAGGCACGUGUGUUGUUCAUUUUGGUUUGAAAUCGUAUAUAUGGUUGAGCCUGGAAUAGUUACAAAGCAGGGAACCUUAAACUCACUUCUCACCCAUCCAUUGCUUCACUAUUAUCAUGUAUUUUCUACCAACAACCUAAUGAACAUAUUUAAUUAGUAAUAUUAAAUAUAUAUUAUCUGCACUUUUUUUAUGUCGUAGCAAAAUCUAAGUGAAGCUGACAAUUAACGCAGACCUAUCUUCGUAAGUACAGCAUGGCUGCCAAACCCUAGCUCCCCAGCAUUUUGUGAAAUUAUCAAGCAUUCUCAAGAAACUGUACAAAAUUCAGUGAGAGAUACCUUUCACUGGUAAUUUAAAUGCUAAUUCUUCCCAAGAUGAUGGUGUAUGAUGAAUUUUCAUUAAUUUAUCCGUGUUUGUUACAUAGCAAUAUUGGUUAAAAAUGAUCAAAAUUCAUAAACAAAUCUCUGAUACUGCUGUUGAUACAAAUGAAGGCAAAAAAAAACAACAAAUUACUCAGAAGAAGAAAAUCCUUCUUAGUCGUAGAUUGUUUUUUGUCCAAGGAACAAUAAGUAUAAUUCUAGAAUUGAAUAUCUGGAUUCACCACAAAAACACAAGCAGAGUUAAAGGAGCUUGUUUACACCCAAUUAGUUUGUUUUUAAAAAUGCUGAUUUUUCUAAAUUUUACAACAAUUCCCUAGUUAGGAAGGUUAAACUUGAUGGACACGUCUCUUUUCAGCCUAAGUAACUAGUUGAUCCUCUGACAAUUCAAUUAAGAUAUAAAGUUUAUAGAAUAUGUCAAAUUGCGAGUGGACUAGAACCCACUACACACAUUUCAGAACAUCAACGUGACAACUAGUUUUAAUUUUAAAGGGACCCUAUGGACACCCACCUCACUGAAGUGUUGUGGAUGCAGUGUCCCCAUUCCCUUAACUCUGCAAUGUAAAAACUGCAGUGAUAAGAGUGCCUCUAGUGGCUGUCUACCAGACUCUGUGAAAUGACAGCGGACAUCCUCACAAUUUGCAUAAGGACGUCUAAUGUGUGGGAAAAGUCCUAGUGUGUGCAUGUCAUGUGCAUUAAGGUCCCCCUUUCGGCUGAAGUCAGAGGAGGAGGAUCCCGACCCAAGUGUUUAAAAACCUUUUACAUAGCUGGGGGUGGGUGUUGGAACAGGGACACUAUAGUGUUAAGAAUACAGUUUUGUAUUCCUAACACUAUAGUGUUUCUUUAAUGUAGACAUGUGGUUCUUUAUUGGGUGCAGAAUAGUUUAGUUAGAACAGAAACCGUUAAAUCUAUAAAAAGCGUAUUCUACCUUUAAACUAUCAUAAUUGUUUUUACAUUUGUAUUCCUUUAUAGAGCAAGUUUAUUUUACUUUCGUUUUAUUAAUGGUAUGGCUAAUGUGGCAGCGUAGAUGGCUAUGUAUUCCUACAUGGUUGUAGUCUUGGAUCCUUUCGUGGCAUUGUGGUGCACUGUAGCGGUUGCAUUUUAAUGCCUAUCGGUAGCUAACUCUCCCCUCCCUCCCUGUAUUGCAGUGUGUUUUUGUUUUCUGCUUUAGUUUUUAAAUUACUGUCCCUUUUUCCACCACCCCACUCCUUCCCUUCCCAUGCCGGUCCAGAGCACACACAUGCACUUGGAGCCAGCAAUAGAUUCCUAUCACCAGUGACUUCAGGAGGGGAAGCAGAAGUCAUUGUUGGGAUCUUCAUCCGGCGCUGGAUUCAAGGUGAGUUUAAAACCACUUUUUUUUUUUCAGCUUUUAUUGAGAUCAGAGCAGAGGGACCUCCUCCAUAGUUCCAGACAGGGCAUUUUACAGAGAAAAAAGUUCCCCCUCCCCUCCCUGUUUCAAAGGGUUAAAGUUACCCAUCUAGAUAUUAAGCCCAUUAGAUAUAUUAUGUGCUGUUAUUUAUUAGAUUUGAUGUAUUGUGAAUUAUUUUAUUUUAGGUGACUUUCUGUGUUAGGCAGAAAGCAUAGCAGCUAGAUUGCAGUGUUUACUCGGCAGCCUGGAGAGAAGCCAAUGUGGAUAUUAGACAGUAACACAUCUGUUCUCAUAAGGACAGAAAUCAAUGGAAAUAUCAGCUCAUUGGAAAGUUAACUGUACUGUGUAACUCAGAACAGACGUCUGUCUUUUUAUGGUACAAAGAGCUGCAAGUCACGUGAUUUAUUGCCUUUUUCAUUGUUGAAACUGCAAUACAUUAAUCAUACUGCAGAUAUGCCACGCGUUGAUGUAUUUUUUAUUAUUAUUAUUAUUCUUUAGUCUUCUUUUGUGCAAAAUAAUAUAUUGAUAUGGAAUAUAAAAUGUUUUGUAACACUGUAUUUCAAAUUCAAAUAGUAUGAUUGAAUUUGUCAAUUCACUGGAGAUUGUUAAAUAAAAAUGCGUAUCUGAAUUUGUUUUGUGUUUUGUUUUAUUUUCAUAAUGAUAGGGUUAAGCCACGCAAUAUUAAAGAUGCUCAUCAUUUUUUAUUACGUCUGCCAUUUCAAAUGCAGCAAAUUUUGAUGGCCACAGUAAAUAAUUUGUAAUUGUCUGCAGUAUAUAUUAUAACCCAAUGAAUAGUGUUGGUCACGUAUAACCAUGCUUGUGGACGUACC